UACAGAGGUGGCGAGCGUUAUUCGGAAUUAUUGGGCGUAAAGGGCGCGUAGGCGGCUUGACAAGUCCCGGGUGAAAUCCCUCGGCUCAACCGAGGAACUGCCUUGGAAACUGUCUGGCUUGAGGCCGGGAGAGGGUAGUGGAAUUCCCAGUGUAGCGGUGAAAUGCGUAGAUAUCAGGAGGAACACCGGUGGCGAAGGCGGGUCUCUGGGCCGUAACUGACGCUGAGGAGCGAAAGCAUGGGGAGCGAACAGG
rnacentral:rRNA from 1 species